UACAGAGGUCUCAAGCGUUGUUCGGAUUCAUUGGGCGUAAAGGGUGCGUAGGUGGCGGGGUAAGUCAGGUGUGAAAUUUCGGAGCUUAACUCCGAAACUGCAUUUGAUACUGCCUUGCUUGAGGACUGGAGAGGAGACUGGAAUUCAUGGUGUAGCAGUGAAAUGCGUAGAGAUCAUGAGGAAGACCAGUGGCGAAGGCGGGUCUCUGGACAGUUCCUGACACUGAGGCACGAAGGCUAGGGGAGCAAACGGG
rnacentral:rRNA from 1 species